CCAAUCGAGGCUGCCGCGCCGUCCUCUCCCUUGUCGCGACCUAGUCUCCGCCACCGCCGCCAACCCCACCCACCACCGCCGCCCCCACCCACCGCCGACCUCGUCUUCGCCAUCCCUCUCCCCUCGCCUUCAUCCGGCGUGCGUGCGUGCGUCCAACCGGCCCCAAAAAUGAAGACAUGGAGCUUGCUCCUCCUCGUCCCACCCAAUCGCCGCCGCCGCCGACCUCCUCCCUCUCCCCCAAUCCCAACCCCACCGGCGGCGAGCUCGUCUCUCCGAGGCCCAUCCUCUGCCCUCCACCCCACCGCGGGCGCCCUUAGUCUCUCCUUCAUCUCCCUACGCUCCAGCUCGGGGGGCCGCGGCCGUGCACCCAGAUCGAGAGGGGAGGCCGUGUUGCUCUUGCUGCGGCCGGAUCCAAGGCCAAGCCCGUGGGGUCCUGCUCGGGCUCCUCGCAGGGGCCACGGCGGCGGGAUCCACAACCACGGCGGGUCCGAACCCUAGCCGCCGCAGUGCGUCACCGGCACGACCCCCGCACCUCCGACGGGCAACGGCACCAAGGAUCGCUCUACGUGGGCCUUCAUCAGCGCCAGCUUCACCACCGGGACCUGCAGCCUCCUCCUCCGGCGUUCAUCUGCAUCAGGGCAGCUAAGAGGGCAUGGGCCUCGACCUCCACGGACGGUGGCCAGAUCGAGCGGAGCUUCCCUUCCUCUGCCUGGCGGGGCAAGGACAAGGACAAGCAGCAACAUCAUCGCAUCAUCAAGAUGCGGCAGCUCAAGGGCGAGGUCGACAUCUUCUCCAGGGCCGACGGGUCGGCGCUGUUCGAGAUGGGCAACACCAGGGUCAUCGCUGCCGUCUACGGCCCCUGAGAGAUGCUGUACUUCAUUCGUGUUUCAUCGUGGGCUCCAAGAAGUGAAGAAGCAUUGAGUUCUAGCUCAUUGGAGCUAGUUAUACUCUGAUAGAUAGUUAUAUUUUGAUAUUUAGUUGUGUUCUUGGUGGCUGUAAACCUGAUGUGAAGUAUGUUCGAUUAUGAACGUGGUGUAUGUUUGAUUUUAAGGUGCCAAAUUUGGUUGUUGAAGUAUUACUUCUGUUUUCAGUCA